AUGAACAUUCUCAACUGCAUACAUAUAAUUUUUUAGUUGAAUGGCCCCAAAAAGAAACAUUUAAGGAAAAUUUCCACAUGUUAAAAAAAGGAUAGUAACUAAAAUAGCAUAUUAAUUAUUUUAAAUUAUGUUUCUUUAAAAAAUGCUAGAAAUGUCAUAUUUUCAUUAUGACAUCAAAAUACUUCAAAAUUUGAAUUGGUUUACUGAAUUCUCAGACAACCAAAUGUUUUUAAAUUAUUCGAACAUGUAAAGUACAUGACCUAAUAGACUUGGAGUUUCAUUGCAAAAAACAUACAAGUUCUACUAGAAAAAAAGUUUUACAGGUGAUUUCUAUACGAUAUAAAGUGGUAGAAACGUGUUACUGUUUCUAAACAGGCCACCAUUCUCUUCGAUUAAUGAGGUUAUAGCAGCUAGACAAUCAGACUUGGAAAAAUGAUUUGCAAAAUCUCAGUUAACAUCCAAGACCCAGUACUACUAAUUAUGUAAGAAAUAGGAGCUGGUUACAAUGCACCCCUCAUCUCAAACUGGUCUCAAUAACUCCCUUCAGUUCAUGGUUAAGAAAAUCCUAGAGAAGCCUUUCAUGUUACUGUGAGAUCAGCAAAGGUAUACUCAUGUGGGUUCACAUAUGAUGUGAACAAUGGACAAUAUAAGACCCAAAUCAAGAAUAUCCACUUGUCUACAUAAAAGUGGAGGACAUCUACAUUAUAAGAAAACAUGAUUGGUAACAGAUUCUAAUGUCAUGUUUUUUGUUUUUGUUUUUUUUAUAAAAUAACCAAGGGACUAGGAUUAUGUUUUUCCUCCUUUUUUCUUUCUAUCUCUUAAAAUCAGGUAUGAUAGGAGUCAGGGAUUACAGAGUAUGACAAUGUAAAAAAAUUAAUAUUUUUGUAGACUCCUAAAGAAUAAAAAAACAUUGAAUAUGCUUUUAAAAUGUAAUUAUCUUCUCAGUAGUUAUGAGGCUUAUUCUGCAUGUAUACCAGCAUGGGAUAAAGGAGUACUUUUUAAUGAUAAAGAGCUUAAAAGUCUAAGUAUAGACCUAGGUUUACCAAGAUUCAGAAAGAAGAAAGCAUCAAGAAGAAACAAGAAAAUGUGAAACAGACUCAUAAUCAAAGUCCAUCCGUUUAGCUCCCAGCACCUAUAGUGUAAUUUGCUAGCAUUUCUGAGCCACAGAUUUCUCAUCUGUUAUCAAAAGGUGAUAGGCAGUACAUUAGAUACACCUAAGAAAGUCUUCAUAAUAGCAUUGAUCUGAAACCCUGGUUUAAGUGUUGGACUGCCAUAUAUUCUGAACUUUUCCUUCGUGUUCUCUUCUAGGGGGCUUUGUUCAAUGAGUGGUAGGGAAGGGUAAGGGGGAAAUUUGAUACUGUUUUAAGUGCUGCUAAAGAAGAAAGUUGUAGAGAAGUAUCACAAAGGAAGAACGGAGAAUGUGUCUACCAUCUUGAUUCCAUUGAAGGCCGCCAUACAGGCCAUAGCCAAUGCUUGCCCUGAGUGGUUUAAAUAAUUUCAUAAAGGAUUUUAUACUCAAUGAAUUGAGGGCAAAGCAAUCACACUGGAACAAAAAUGUGCCAAUUUUUCCAAUAUGCAAAUUGUAAUGAUCGGUAAUUCAUAAAACUACUUUGAGAGCAAUUGAAUAUUUUAGUAUUGUAAUUUGCACUAUGAUAUUACGAUGUUCAGGCAAACUAAAAUACUCUGAAAUCUAAUGCCAAAUGUACAGUUCAUAGGUUCAUGGUACUUCGUAUAAGUGUUUCAUUGCAUUGCGACAGUUGUUUAAUAGCAUUAACUUUCCCUGGGUGUGUUGUUAUGAUGCAGAUCUAACAGGGUUAUUGUAAGCACACUAAUUAGUCAUCUGGGGUUUUAUAGAUAAAAUCAUACAUUGAUCAGAAAUCACUUUUCUACUUAUUUUUUUGUAGAGUAUUUUUCCACACUUGAAAAAACAUGAUUAUUUUAUAUCAAACAUCAGUUUUCCUUUAAAAUCUUAUUUUAGUAGCCAAUGCAUGUUUGAAAUAAGAUGUUAAAUAUUAUGUGCCAAUAGUAAGAUUGUGUUUGUAAGUGAAAAAUGCAUGCUAUAAUGAAUCAUACAGCUUUGGUGGCAUAUUCUACUGCCACCUUAUAUGCAAGCUUUCUCUUAACCUGUGUGCAUGGUCCACAUGCUUUCAAGAGUCCUUUUUUAAUAUUUACAAAGUGACAUGUGAUUUUUAGUGCUGAUGAGCCAGUGAGCCAAGAUGCAAUCCUGUUCUGCUUUCAUUUUUCUUCUUUACAUUAUGUUGUAAAUUUUCUCAGAAAACUUUUUCUUGGAGUUGUUGGCAAUAAACUACAACAAAUGAAAGAAUUGGCUGGUAAAUCUUACAGACAACUUACCGUUACAAAGCAUGAAGAUGUGAGAAGAUCAUUUUACAAGCUUCAUUAUAUGAACACAAUACUCUGGCAUCUUUUUUGUGUAGUUAAGAAGAGCUUAUCGUUUCUGAAACACUGCCAAAGUCAGUACUACUGCCAAAAGGGAGGGACACCUGCAUUACACUAAACUGAAUAAUAACAGACUAUCCAGACUGUAUAGACUGCCAAUCAGUACAGUAAAGUGGGAGGGAUAUACCCACUCUUUUGUUUCUUAUUAAUUAGAGAAAUGUAUAAGGAAUAUGAAUUUUGGCAACAGAGACAUGGCUUUACAUGCUGAUAACUCAUGGAAAUAUUUGAAAUAAAACUCAUUCCAUUCUUGAAAAAAAUAUGCCCAGGCAUUUUGUUUGUUUCAGAAAUGUACUUGUGUUUUUGAAAGCUCUAAUUUCAAACAAGUAAUAUAUGUAGACCAACUGUUCCUUCUACAAAUAAUGUCAUUUAUUGUAACACAUAAUGGGUAGAACAUAGCUUUCAGUCAGUUAUUCGAAUCACCAGUAUAAAUAUUCAUAAUGUUUGAAGGUGAUUUCACUGUGAGGUUAUGAAAGCAAUGGAAACCCUAGUUAUUUGUUUGGGUUUUUAUGUGUCUAUUUAUAGAAAAAUGCUUCUUUUAAGUCUAAUUUUAACAACAUCAACUAAGUUAAUCUAAUGCUAAGAAAAUUGACUCUACUUACUAUUUCAAGUCACAGUCCUGAAACUGAGUCUUGCUGCAAUCC
rnacentral:lncRNA from 1 species